rnacentral:rRNA from 1 species
UACGAAGGGUGCAAGCGUUAAUCGGAAUUACUGGGCGUAAAGCGCGCGUAGGCGGUUUGAUAAGUUGGAUGUGAAAGCCCCGGGCUCAACCUGGGAAUUGCAUCCAAAACUGUCUGACUAGAGUACGGUAGAGGGUGGUGGAAUUUCCUGUGUAGCGGUGAAAUGCGUAGAUAUAGGAAGGAACAUCAGUGGCGAAGGCGACCACCUGGACUGAUACUGACGCUGAGGUGCGAAAGCGUGGGGAGCAAACAGGAUUAGAUACCCGGGUAGU